UACGUAGGGUGCAGGCGUUAAUCGGAAUUACUGGGCGUAAAGCGUGCGCAGGCGGUUUGCUAAGACAGGUGUGAAAUCCCCGGGCUCAACCUGGGAACUGCAUCUGUGACUGCAUAGCUAGAGUACGGUAGAGGGGGAUGGAAUUCCGCGUGUAGCAGUGAAAUGCGUAGAUAUGCGGAGGAACACCGAUGGCGAAGGCAAUCCCCUGGACCUGUACUGACGCUCAUGCACGAAAGCGUGGGGAGCAAACAGG
rnacentral:rRNA from 1 species